UUUGCUUCUCCAUUUCAGGCACUUCCUAUGUAUGAGCAGGAGCUCCUGCUGCAUUAGCAUUCUGCUCACCCUGUCGCCGCACACAAAAGGUGCCUCUGCCUUUUCGGUGCUUCCCUCCCCCUGCUCCUGAGGACAAAGUAGCCUCCGGUUUCUCCUUGGGGUUGCUCCGUGCAGAGCACGAAAAAGCAGCCUCACAAGCAGUCCAUGAGUGUCAGUGAUGAUUAUGAUUCAUAACCAGAGUGCUUAAUGCAUGAUUUUUCCAUCCUCUUCUUUUUUUUUUCGUUGGACACUGCAGUCCAGGUGCUGCUAAAAGGGGUGGGUCCUGACACACAGGAGCAUUUUCCAUCUGCUUUACAAAUGAGGACUAUAAAGAGUUUCACACACCAACUCCCUCUCCCAGCUGCUUGCUUGGACUCCACAAAUACGAUAGAGUCAGGUAACACCAGCUCCCGUGCAGACAGGAGUGGUCCACAAGGGCAAGGGAGCUCCUAUGAAUUAACAGAGCACAAAGUGUGUUUCCCUGCGGCGUUACGGUGGGUGCCCUCCAUUAAGCACCCAGGAAUGUGCUUGGACUAUAACACCACAGAGUGAUGGCCCUUUCACAGCCAUAUCGUGCGUUGGUUAUCCCUGGUUUUGAGAGGAUUUGGUGGAAGCUGUGAUUUACUGUCCUUUGCAAGAGCAAGCAUCCAAGCUCCAGGACGAGCAAAGCAACCCCAGAGAGGGUUGCAGAAGUGCCAGGAGGGGCAUCAGCAAGAGUAGGCUUUUACUACACAAGGACUUGUGCCAGAUUUCCUUAGCAGUGACUUACAUAAAUCAGGAGCUUCCAGGCUGAGAGAGGCUCUUGUCUGCAAAUCAGGGGCUCUUUGCGCUCCGUAAAAUGUAAAGGGGAGUAUGAAGUGCCGUGCUGAGCAGGGUAAAGGAAGUCCUUCUUGCACGGCAAGCAUGAAAUAUGUCAGGUGUCAGGUUAUUACUGGCGGUCGCCUAUCGUAAAAACAACUCUUGAAAAUCAUUUCAACGUUUUUAUUAAAGUUGCUGAAAGAAUGGGGAAAAAAACAGUGAAUGCAUUGGAAUAUUAAGCGAUAAGGCUCUUCUUUUGAUGGCAACAAUUAUUCUCACUCCCUCGAGCCCUAAGGAGCUUUUAUGGCCAGGAGCCUUCCAU